GGUUAAGCGACUAAGCGUACACGGUGGAUGCCCUGGCAGUCAGAGGCGAUGAAGGACGUGCUAAUCUGCGAUAAGCGUCGGUAAGGUGAUAUGAACCGUUAUAACCGGCGAUUUCCGAAUGGGGAAACCCAGUGUGAUUCGUCACACUAUCAUUAACUGAAUCCAUAGGUUAAUGAGGCGAACCGGGGGAACUGAAACAUCUAAGUACCCCGAGGAAAAGAAAUCAACCGAGAUUCCCCCAGUAGCGGCGAGCGAACGGGGAGCAGCCCAGAGCCUGAAUCAGUGUGUGUGUUAGUGGAAGCGUCUGGAAAGGCGCGCGAUACAGGGUGACAGCCCCGUACACAAAAAUGCACAUGCUGUGAGCUCGAUGAGUAGGGCGGGACACGUGGUAUCCUGUCUGAAUAUGGGGGGACCAUCCUCCAAGGCUAAAUACUCCUGACUGACCGAUAGUGAACCAGUACCGUGAGGGAAAGGCGAAAAGAACCCCGGCGAGGGGAGUGAAAAAGAACCUGAAACCGUGUACGUACAAGCAGUGGGAGCACGCUUAGGCGUGUGACUGCGUACCUUUUGUAUAAUGGGUCAGCGACUUAUAUUCUGUAGCAAGGUUAACCGAAUAGGGGAGCCGAAGGGAAACCGAGUCUUAACUGGGCGUUAAGUUGCAGGGUAUAGACCCGAAACCCGGUGAUCUAGCCAUGGGCAGGUUGAAGGUUGGGUAACACUAACUGGAGGACCGAACCGACUAAUGUUGAAAAAUUAGCGGAUGACUUGUGGCUGGGGGUGAAAGGCCAAUCAAACCGGGAGAUAGCUGGUUCUCCCCGAAAGCUAUUUAGGUAGCGCCUCGUGAAUUCAUCUCCGGGGGUAGAGCACUGUUUCGGCAAGGGGGUCAUCCCGACUUACCAACCCGAUGCAAACUGCGAAUACCGGAGAAUGUUAUCACGGGAGACACACGGCGGGUGCUAACGUCCGUCGUGAAGAGGGAAACAACCCAGACCGCCAGCUAAGGUCCCAAAGUCAUGGUUAAGUGGGAAACGAUGUGGGAAGGCCCAGACAGCCAGGAUGUUGGCUUAGAAGCAGCCAUCAUUUAAAGAAAGCGUAAUAGCUCACUGGUCGAGUCGGCCUGCGCGGAAGAUGUAACGGGGCUAAACCAUGCACCGAAGCUGCGGCAGCGACACUAUGUGUUGUUGGGUAGGGGAGCGUUCUGUAAGCCUGUGAAGGUGUACUGUGAGGUAUGCUGGAGGUAUCAGAAGUGCGAAUGCUGACAUAAGUAACGAUAAAGCGGGUGAAAAGCCCGCUCGCCGGAAGACCAAGGGUUCCUGUCCAACGUUAAUCGGGGCAGGGUGAGUCGACCCCUAAGGCGAGGCCGAAAGGCGUAGUCGAUGGGAAACAGGUUAAUAUUCCUGUACUUGGUGUUACUGCGAAGGGGGGACGGAGAAGGCUAUGUUGGCCGGGCGACGGUUGUCCCGGUUUAAGCGUGUAGGCUGGUUUUCCAGGCAAAUCCGGAAAAUCAAGGCUGAGGCGUGAUGACGAGGCACUACGGUGCUGAAGCAACAAAUGCCCUGCUUCCAGGAAAAGCCUCUAAGCAUCAGGUAACAUCAAAUCGUACCCCAAACCGACACAGGUGGUCAGGUAGAGAAUACCAAGGCGCUUGAGAGAACUCGGGUGAAGGAACUAGGCAAAAUGGUGCCGUAACUUCGGGAGAAGGCACGCUGAUAUGUAGGUGAAGCGACUUGCUCGUGGAGCUGAAAUCAGUCGAAGAUACCAGCUGGCUGCAACUGUUUAUUAAAAACACAGCACUGUGCAAACACGAAAGUGGACGUAUACGGUGUGACGCCUGCCCGGUGCCGGAAGGUUAAUUGAUGGGGUCAGCGCAAGCGAAGCUCUUGAUCGAAGCCCCGGUAAACGGCGGCCGUAACUAUAACGGUCCUAAGGUAGCGAAAUUCCUUGUCGGGUAAGUUCCGACCUGCACGAAUGGCGUAAUGAUGGCCAGGCUGUCUCCACCCGAGACUCAGUGAAAUUGAACUCGCUGUGAAGAUGCAGUGUACCCGCGGCAAGACGGAAAGACCCCGUGAACCUUUACUAUAGCUUGACACUGAACAUUGAGCCUUGAUGUGUAGGAUAGGUGGGAGGCUUUGAAGUGUGGACGCCAGUCUGCAUGGAGCCGACCUUGAAAUACCACCCUUUAAUGUUUGAUGUUCUAACGUUGACCCGUAAUCCGGGUUGCGGACAGUGUCUGGUGGGUAGUUUGACUGGGGCGGUCUCCUCCUAAAGAGUAACGGAGGAGCACGAAGGUUGGCUAAUCCUGGUCGGACAUCAGGAGGUUAGUGCAAUGGCAUAAGCCAGCUUGACUGCGAGCGUGACGGCGCGAGCAGGUGCGAAAGCAGGUCAUAGUGAUCCGGUGGUUCUGAAUGGAAGGGCCAUCGCUCAACGGAUAAAAGGUACUCCGGGGAUAACAGGCUGAUACCGCCCAAGAGUUCAUAUCGACGGCGGUGUUUGGCACCUCGAUGUCGGCUCAUCACAUCCUGGGGCUGAAGUAGGUCCCAAGGGUAUGGCUGUUCGCCAUUUAAAGUGGUACGCGAGCUGGGUUUAGAACGUCGUGAGACAGUUCGGUCCCUAUCUGCCGUGGGCGCUGGAGAACUGAGGGGGGCUGCUCCUAGUACGAGAGGACCGGAGUGGACGCAUCACUGGUGUUCGGGUUGUCAUGCCAAUGGCACUGCCCGGUAGCUAAAUGCGGAAGAGAUAAGUGCUGAAAGCAUCUAAGCACGAAACUUGCCCCGAGAUGAGUUCUCCCUGACUCCUUGAGAAUCCUGAAGGAACGUUGAAGACGACGACGUUGAUAGGCCGGGUGUGUAAGCGCAGCGAUGCGUUGAGCUAACCGGUACUAAUGAACCGUGAGGCUUAACCUU
rnacentral:rRNA from 1 species